AUACCCCACUAUGCUUAGCCCUAAACAUAAAUAUUCAACUAACAAGAAUAUUCGCCAGAGAACUACUAGCCACAGCUAAAAACUCAAAGGACUUGGCGGUGCUUUAUACCCCUCUAGAGGAGCCUGUUCUGUAAUCGAUAAACCCCGUUAAACCUCACCACCCCUAGCAAUUAUCAGCCUAUAUACCGCCAUCUUCAGCAAACCCUAAAAAGGAAGCAAAGUAAGCACAAUCAUUCUGCAUAAAAACGUUAGGUCAAGGUGUAGCCUAUGGGGUGGGAAGAAAUGGGCUACAUUUUCUACACUCCCUAGAACACUUACGUUAGCUGCUCUGAAACAUAGCUAGCCUAAGGUGGAUUUAGUAGUAAGCUAGGAAUAGAGCGCCUAGCUGAAUCGGGCAAUAAAGCACGCACACACCGCCGUUCACCCUCA
rnacentral:rRNA from 1 species